GUUUGAACUUCCUUUUUCUCGUGCCUGAUAGUGAGAGGAACAGGGAGGUUUUGUCCCUCCAAAAGAAUCUGUUUCCAUCUUCUUUACAGAGGCACCUUUACACUCGCCAAAAUGACCGAACAGAUGACGGUUCGAGGUACCCUUAAAGGGCAUAGUGGAUGGGUCACCCAAAUCGCCACAACUCCUCAGUUUCCAGACAUGAUUCUGUCCGCAUCUCGAGACAAGUCUAUUAUUAUGUGGAAAUUGACACGUGACGAGACCAACUACGGAAUCCCCCAGCGUGCUCUGAAGGGACACUCUCACUUUGUGAGUGAUGUUGUCAUCUCCUCUGAUGGCCAGUUUGCCCUGUCUGGCUCCUGGGAUGGUACCCUCCGCCUCUGGGACCUUACUACUGGUACCACAACCCGCCGCUUUGUGGGACAUACCAAGGAUGUGCUGAGUGUUGCCUUCUCUGCCGACAAUCGCCAGAUUGUGUCCGGAUCUCGGGACAAGACCAUUAAGCUUUGGAACACUUUGGGAGUGUGCAAGUACACCAUUCAGGAUGAGAGCCACACAGAGUGGGUUUCCUGCGUGCGCUUCUCCCCCAACAGCAGUAACCCCAUCAUUGUGUCUUGUGGCUGGGACAAAAUGGUCAAGGUAUGGAAUCUGGCUAACUGCAAGCUGAAGACUAACCACAUUGGCCAUACUGGGUACCUGAACACGGUGACCGUGUCCCCUGAUGGCUCUCUUUGUGCUUCAGGUGGAAAGGAUGGUCAGGCCAUGCUGUGGGACCUGAAUGAGGGCAAGCACCUCUACACUCUGGAUAGCGGUGAUGUCAUCAAUGCUCUAUGCUUCAGCCCCAACCGCUACUGGCUCUGUGCUGCCACAGGCCCCAGCAUCAAGAUUUGGGACCUUGAGGGCAAGAUCAUUGUUGAUGAACUGAGACAGGAAGUCAUCAGCACCAACAGCAAGGCUGAACCGCCACAGUGCACGUCCCUGGCCUGGUCUGCAGAUGGACAGACCCUGUUUGCCGGCUACACUGACAACCUCAUCAGAGUGUGGCAAGCUGAAGACUAACCACAUUGGCCAUACUGGGUACCUGAACACGGUGACCGUGUCCCCUGAUGGCUCUCUUUGUGCUUCAGGUGGAAAGGAUGGUCAGGCCAUGCUGUGGGACCUGAAUGAGGGCAAGCACCUCUACACUCUGGAUAGCGGUGAUGUCAUCAAUGCUCUAUGCUUCAGCCCCAACCGCUACUGG